GUCUACAGGCAUGUAACCCUGAAUACACCUGAUCUCAUCUGAUCCCACAAGCUAAGCAGGGUCAGUCCUGGUUAUUACUUGGAUGGGAGAAACACACUCUCAACUAUUCUUCUUUAGUUUUGUUGGCU
rnacentral:rRNA from 1 species